rnacentral:rRNA from 1 species
UACAGAGGGUGCAAACGUUGCUCGGAAUUACUGGGCGUAAAGCGCGUGUAGGCGGUUUCGCGAGUCCGAUGUGAAAGCCCGGGGCUCAACCCCGGAAGUGCAUUGGAUACUACGAAGCUUGAGUGCUGGAGAGGAGAGCGGAAUUCCCGGUGUAGAGGUGAAAUUCGUAGAUAUCGGGAGGAACACCAGUGGCGAAGGCGGCUCUCUGGACAGACACUGACGCUGAUACGCGAAAGCAUGGGGAUCAAAC